CGGGAUGUGUCCCGUGGGAAUGUGGCUUUUGAAGCUGAACCGUGAA
rfam:Methanolobus psychrophilus R15, complete genome.